AAUCCCCAAACGAUACCUGAAUAAGAUCAGCUGCAGGCUGCAGGUCGAAAGACCCUUCAGCCUUCAAGUCAUCAACUUCACAACAAGUAAGAUGAAACCCUCGUCUUCUGGCCAUGCGUUUUUCGGCACGAAUGUAGAACAGAAGUGGACGACGGAGGUGGCCUGAUCAAGCUAAAGGAGAAGAUAAACAAAGGUGCAUUUGGCCUCAGCUUGGAUCUUGAGUCUCGCAGGUGCGAACACAUGAAGUCAGAGAGAUCCACAGGAGAGUCCAUGACGACCACUGACCAGGUACCUGCUCCUUUGGAGGAGCCUCUCCCUUCACAAGUGAAACUUCAUAUUCAACAUCACAUGCCCAAUAAAUUUUUGAAAGAUACAAUGGCCCAAAAAUGAAGGUACAAAUGUAAUCUUAACCUUUCGUCCAAACUUUGACUGGCGGCAUAAAAUCCUAAAGAAAACUAGGACAAUUUGUUUUUCAACAUUACAAAGUCACCUCUAAAAUCAUGACAACGAGAAUGAUGGAACUAAAUUUGCCAUGAUUUUAGAAGUAAUCUUUUCGUAACGUUUUAGUAUAAACUUCAAGUUGGAGCCCAACCUAUAAGGAGACGAUCGAAUAUGCACCACUAGAAAAUGAGGCAAAAGCUGUAGCCACUUGAGGAUAAUAGUACUAAUAGCCACAUACCACAGAUAUUGAUUUGGGCUGGAUGUAACCUGUGAUCAAGACAAGACAAUAUAUAAAUCAGUUUUUCAUAAACUCUAUA